UAGAGACUUUUUAAGACUCAAACCCUUUGUGAACAUGCUAUGUGUUGCUUCGGCGGGUUUGCCCUCGGGGGGGCUAAAUGAUCUUCUAGAUCAACCUGCCGAAGGACUUUAAAACUCUUAAAUUUAAAGAAUUCUGAAUCUACUAUUAAAAAAGCA
rnacentral:misc_RNA from 1 species